UUGAGAUACAGAAAAGCCGGUAACCAGUUCUUGUUUGUCUCCCUGAAGACAUUUAUUUCCCUGGCAUUCAUACAGGACCUGGUAGAGAGAGCAAUUAUUGAGAUACAGGUUGGAAAGCCGGUAACCAGACCAGGAACUUUCAUUCAUACAGGAGCUGGUAGAGAGAGCAAUUAUUGAGAUACAGGUUGGAAAGCCGGUAACCAGACCAGGAACUUACAUCCAUACAGGACUUGGUAGAGAGAGCAAUUAUUGAGAUACAGGAAAGCCGGUAUAAAGACCAGGACUUUUCCUUCAUACAGGACUUGGUAGAGAGAGCAAUUAUUGAGAUACAGGUUGGAAAGCCGGUAACCAGUCCAGGAACUUUCCUUCAUACAGGACUUGGUAGAGAGAGCAAUUAUUGAGAUACAGGAAAGCCGGUAACCAGACCAGGACCUUUCCUUCAUACAGGACUUGGUAGAGAGAGCAAUUAUUGAGAUACAGGAAAGCCGGUAACCAGUCCAAGAACUUUCCUUCAUACAGGACUUGGUAGAGAGAGCAAUUAUUGAGAUACAGGAAAGCCGGUAACCAGACCAGGAACUUUCCUUCAUACAGGACUUGGUAGAGAGAGCAAUUAUUGAGAUACAGGUUGGAAAGCCGGUAACCAGACCAGGAACUUUCCUUCAUACAGGACCUGGUAGAGAGAGCAAUUAUUGAGAUACAGGUUGGAAAGCCGGUAACCAGUCCAGGAACUUUCCUUCACAGAAUGCCAUAUUGGUGUUGACUGUGGGAUGCAUUUAUCUGGCUAAUACAACAUAUUUUUCCGCUAUGUUUGAUGUUGUCAUAGGUUUAUUCAGUAGCCAUGUUGGAACAGAAAAUUGUCUUUGAAAAGGAGAAGAGAUUUAAAGAGGUAACGCAGAUGAUGGGCUUAUCAGAUAGUGUGCACUGGUGGGCGUGGUUAAUACCUGCCGCGGUACAGAUGACUGUUACUGUAAGUAAGUAAGUAAGUAAGUAACAACUUUAUUUAAUGAGGCUAACACAUUCGGUUUCCCGAUCUUCCAUGCGGGCCUCAGCAUAUACAUAGCAUAUACAUAACAAUAUAUACAUUACACAUUUUAAAUAACAUAUAUACACAAAUAGAAAAAAAACAACAACAAAAAACAAACCAAAAAAAAAAAAAAAAAAAAACGAACAUCAAGAAACCACAUUUUCAUAAUCUGGGCAUGAAAAAUACAUUAUUUUACAAGUAAGAUGAAAACAAAUUUGUAAAAACAAAACAUUAAACAUUAUACCUUCUAUUCUUGUGUGGCAUUAUCAUUUCAACAAAAUGUACACUCAUUUAAUUAGAAAAUUGCCACUUAAUAUAUGUGGCUUGAAAUUUCUUCAAAGUAUCUGAAUUUCGAAUAUAAAUUGGAAUGUCAUUCCAUAUUUUAGGACCAGAAUAGUCAAAUGAUUUCCUAAAGUACUCAGUUGUUGGUUUCGGUAUGACUAGUUUCUCAUUUUGAACAGAUCUUAAGUUGAAGUUGUGUUUGUCAUUUAUCACUUUGAAUUUAUUUUUCAUAUAAUUAGGAAAAGAUGGUUCAUUUAUAGAUUUAUACAUGAG